UAAACAUUAUUGCCACAAAGUGGGGAAAAAAAGGAGUGGGGGAGAAGAACACUCACCACUCCUAUAACCACCUCUUGGCACAAACACAGCCAGAGCUGCCACCAGUGCUGGUGCUUGGGUUGAGCUGAGCAUCUGCUCAGUGAAAAUGUCUGAGGGAACAUGACAUGAGGUUGUUGGAAGGAAAAGUGCUCUCAGACAUGUUACAACCCAGUGUGAGGGAAAAAACAUUUCAUUUUCAUGUAAGAAACCUUAGGAAAAAAAAGAAAUGACAUGGUUAUGAAACACAAAGAUAAGCUGACUAGACUUCUUUUUCCAUUGUAGUUCAGGCACUGAACCUCUAUGGCCUCCUUUGUCCCCAAGAUCAACUGCUCACACUCCACGCCAGGAAUGAAUUUGGAAGCUGAAAGGAGAGCACACUGCCAGGCCUUUGGGUUAUAAGCCUCCCAGCAUGUCAGAGACUUUUAAGACAAGCUGCCAGUGACAUUUGCAGACAUACACUGUACAAAACAUUUCUGUGUGCUUUUUUAGGGAACCUAUGGAGAAGAGCCUGCUGGACGUGGCUGGAGUGUCCCUUUGCUGACCUGCUUCAGAGCUGUAUCUCCCUGGGGACUGUCCUUAAUGUAGCAGUAUGCUUGAAUAACUUCAGCUUUGUUGAAAAGACUGUUUCCAGUAAUAGAUUGUUCUCAUUAAUUUUCUCAUGCUCUUCAUUGCCACUGAGAUAAAGUUGUCUUCAGGUUUCUGGUGCUCUUUCAAGCAUCACAUUCAGUCAGACAUGUGCUUCUGAAAAAAUGAGGAAAUGAUGAGAGCAAAUCUGUGUUACUGUUAUUGCUGUGGAAGUCUUAACCAACCAUUCUUUUAACAAUGGCCUUUCUCUGAUAAUGGGCUCCAGAAACACUCAGCAAGCAUUGAUGAAUGUCAGUGGGUGCCAUUUUUCUGCAUGGAGGUAUUCAGUGUCACACAUUUGUUCCAUACGCACUUCCAUGUCAGACGCCGUUCUGUCAGACUGCCCCUUGGCUGCCAUCUGUCUCACAGCAAAAACAUGGAAUGGGAUAUCAGUGGAAAUGUUCAACCUGUACUAUCAUACCACCAACAUCCACCUCUGACAUUGUGAGCCAACGUAUUAAAACAGAAGGCAUCAUUUCUGAACAGUCUAAUUAUUAGUUGCCAUUAUUAAUGAUCCAAGCAACAAGAAGGAUGGGAUACAAUUCUUGACAUGUACAUAUGCAGGCAGCACAAAGACUAGUGGGAUGGCAGACAACCAGAAAGGGCUGGUCUUCUAGGCUGACAUGAAUCAUCACAUUGAAUGGUCUCCAUAGAUUGUAGGAAUAGUGCUGCACUGCACUGCAUCAAGGUUCAUAGCAGAGCUGUAUGCCUCCUGGACAGACUGAUGGUGCAGCAUGUGAAGAUCCACACAGUGGCAGUCACCUCUGUCUAUCCACACGGGCAGCCCCCACCUGUUAAACAAGGUAGGACACAAAGGAAAGCUCUCAAAAAGAACCAGAAGGCUGAACAUCAUCAAGGAAUAUAGAAAAUGAUGUAUUGAUAAUGUUUGCUUUGUUUGUUUGUUUUAUUAUCACAAAUGACUGCUUAGUUUGGAUCAACACCCCAGGAUUUAAUCACACUGCGUAUUCUCACUACAGUAAUUUUACUUACUUAGCAACAGCUUCUGCCUUUUGUUCAGAAUGUUCUAGGCUUACAGUGUACAAUAAGGUAGCAAGAAGACAUCUACGAGAAGCAAUGUAUCUGAAAAAAAAAAAAAAAAGAGAGAGAGAAUGAGGGGUGAAGAGAGGAAGAGAAUAAAUUUCUAAAUUAAUAUGGCUGUUGGUAAAAUUUGAAAUGCAUAAGAAUUUUCACAGUGCAGUUGUGUAUGUACAAACAUGUACAUACGGAGUCCAUGACUGCAUCUCAGUGCCACCACCCUCCUGCAGUCCUGCAGCAGCCCCAGCAACCAAGGGCCAUAAGCAGAGAGGUGGGUGAAAAAGGGGCUUUGCUGACUUCCGUGAGCAAAAGAUGAGUGAUUGAGAGACAUCUGCCAGUCCUGAUCCACUUAUCAGCCAGGAUUUCAGCUUUGAGGAGAUUUCUUAGUCUGGACAGAGAGGGGAGAGGAAAGUGAAGAAGAAUUAAAAGAUGUCUGUUUGCCUGAUAGGAUCUAAAUGAUUUGACUGGCGGAACUCAGUUGUACUUACAUUUUCAAAUAUAAGGAUCUCAAUUCGCUUGUGGAAAAUGCUGAAGCUCAGUUCACAGAGCAAUCUAAUUCUCUUCAUGUGUUGUUCAGGAUAGCAGAGUUGUCUCCAAUACAUCCACAACCUUCCGGAGAUUUCCAAGCAUGACCCACAUCAGCUUAUAAUGGCUCAUUAUUGCUGCCACAUCAGAGAGCCUGUGGGCAACACUGAGCAUGGAACAAUGUGUUCAGAGCCUGUUUGCAUGCAUGCAAAGAAGGAACCUAUAUACGUACAGACAGAUGUGUAAUCAAGGGGACAGAGCCAGCUCUGAAAAGACAUCAUCAAUGUCCCAGAAAGGCAUUGGGCUCUUAACUAACAUUUUUUCAACAGUGUAUUCAGAAUCUAAUUGCAUUACUGUGGGUGGCAGGAAGCCAUCCUCCUUCAUCCAUGUGGGGAUAUAGAGAUUACUAAAGCAUCAGUAAAGGGUCAAAUGUAUUAUAGCAUUAAGACUGGUUUAUGCCCCAUUACUGGGCUUACUUAAGGAAAGAAAAAACUCAUUUGGUUACAAAGAAGAAAAAAUGCUGAAAGAUAUUCAGCACUAAGGGGAAGUCAAACAUCCCUCUUGGCUCAUAAUUAAAAGGAAAAAAAAAAGAAAGCUGGGAAA